UGGGGAAUUUUGCACAAUGGGGGAAACCCUGAUGCAGCGACGCCGAGUGAUUUAGAAGGCCUUCGGGUUGUAAAAAUCUUUUCUAUGGGAAGAAAAUGACAGUACCAUAGGAAUAAGGACCGGCGAAUUACGUGCCAGCAGCCGCGGUAAUACGUAAGGUCCGAGCGUUGUCCGGAAUCAUUGGGCGUAAAGGGUACGUAGGCGGGUAAGCAAGUUAGAAGUGAAAUCCUUUAGCUCAACUACAGUAAGCUUUUAAAACUGCUCCUCUUUGUAUGUGGAAGGGAAGGUGGAAUUCCUGGUGUAGCGGUGAAAUGCGCAAAUAUUAGGAGGAUUACCGAUGGCGAAGGCGCCUUUCUGGCCAUAAUCUGACGCUGAGGUACGAACGCGUGGGUAGCAAACAGG
rnacentral:rRNA from 1 species